rnacentral:rRNA from 1 species
GGCCUAACACAUGCAAGUCGAGCGGAACGACACUAACAAUCCUUCGGGUGCGUUAAUGGGCGUCGAGCGGCGGACGGGUGAGUAAUGCCUAGGAAAUUGCCUUGAUGUGGGGGAUAACCAUUGGAAACGAUGGCUAAUACCGCAUGAUGCCUACGGGCCAAAGAGGGGGACCUUCGGGCCUCUCGCGUCAAGAUAUGCCUAGGUGGGAUUAGCUAGUUGGUGAGGUAAUGGCUCACCAAGGCGACGAUCCCUAGCUGGUCUGAGAGGAUGAUCAGCCACACUGGAACUGAGACACGGUCCAGACUCCUACGGGAGGCAGCAGUGGGGAAUAUUGCACAAUGGGCGAAAGCCUGAUGCAGCCAUGCCGCGUGUAUGAAGAAGGCCUUCGGGUUGUAAAGUACUUUCAGUUGUGAGGAAGGGUGUGUAGUUAAUAGCUGCGCAUCUUGACGUUAGCAACAGAAGAAGCACCGGCUAACUCCGUGCCAGCAGCCGCGGUAAUACGGAGGGUGCGAGCGUUAAUCGGAAUUACUGGGCGUAAAGCGCAUGCAGGUGGUUCAUUAAGUCAGAUGUGAAAGCCCGGGGCUCAACCUCGGAACUGCAUUUGAAACUGGUGAACUAGAGUACUGUAUAGGGGGGUAGAAUUUCAGGUGUAACCGGUGAAAUGCGUAAAGAUCUGAAAGAAUACC